rnacentral:lncRNA from 13 species
CUCACUUGACCUGCUUUGUUGCACAAAACCCUGUAGCUCACCUUUGCCUUCCCGUCUGUUUACUCUUCGUGUGGGGUUGUCAAGGAGAAACAUUGGAGGGGAGAGGAGGAAGCAGGCGGUAUUAUGGGCAGUCGGUCUCUCCUCUCUCAGCCAACUAUGAGAACUAUUUGGGAUUGAAGGAGAUAAGCUACAGCAGGUCGCCACUUGUCCUGAACGCUCGACCAUUCUUUGAGCAAGAAGACAGACCUGGACAGGGUCUUGCUCUGUUGCCCAGGCUGGAGUGCAAUGGUGGUCUGCAACCUCCACAUCCUGGGUUCAAGCAGUAAAGCAGUCUUUCACCUCAGCCUCCCAAGUAGCUGGGACCACAGGAACAUACACCACCCAGCUAAUUAUUAUUAUUAUUUUUUUUGGUAGAGGUGUCAUUUCACCAUGUUGCCCAGGCUGGUCUUGAACUCCUGAACUCAAACAAUCUUACUACCAUUGGCCUCCUAAAGUGCUGGGAUUACAACCAUUCACCACAGCUCCCAAACUUGUAACAGAAUUUUAAAUCAACAAUUGUGAUGCCUUCAACUUUGUUGUUUAGUGAUACUUUGUUAAGAAGAUACAUUGCUUUGUGUUUUUAAUUUGACAGAUUUUAAACACCAAAAUUAAAUUAAACUGCAAAAACACAUUUUCAAGAAUUUGAGGAAAACUAGUUUUAUUUUCAUACAUGAUGGUCUUUGGAAAAGGACCAACUCAGUGCCCACCUUCAAAUUUGAAGAAGAUAAGCAGGAUGCUCGGUGAGCUAUAAAGAGUGCCUGGAUCCACCAGAUGAGUUACAAGCAUUUCUGUCUUCUGAGUCACUAUGGUUAGCUCACAGAGGUGUAAACUCAGUCCCAACAAUGGGUUUUGGCUGCCCCUUUGAAAGAACGCUAUUUCUCCAGCCUCUGCACAUUUGGCUGCAUCUUCAAGGAGAGAAAAUCCUGGAAAUCCCAGCAUUGUCUGGCUUCCUUUCUCACUAACCUAUCCAGGCUUUUCAGAAAUCCCUUUGCCUCAUUCUAAACAGGAAGUUUUGUCAGGCAGUUGUGCAAAUGGUCCUGUAUUAUGCAGGAUGUCACCUAUUGUUAUUGGAACAAAGAUAUUCUGAAAUAUGGACAAAAGCUUCCAAUCCGCCAGGGUCCUGGACCCUAAAGUAGCCUCUCAUUGUAUCUGGGAAGUGAUUGAGUGAAUUGGGUCACUCCAAGAAUAUACCUAAGCUUCAGAAACUCAGCUAUUAUUAGGAUGCCAGAGUGGAGCUACACAAAGCACAUGCAAUUUGCAUUCAUAGUAAUCCUGCUUCCAAAUUUGCUCUGUAUAAAUACAACACAGCCACUUUCUAAAUAAAUGGGGUUACCUACAACUGUAUACGUAAAUG